rnacentral:lncRNA from 1 species
CCAAAAGUUUAUUAUUAAUUAUCAUCAGUUAUUCAAGAUGUUUAAGAAAUGAUAAACUUAAAUGAUACAUGAACUAUGAAUAGUAGUAUUUUGUAAAGCUGACUUAGAUAACACAUCUGCACAUCUUUUUUUUUUUUUUGACAGCAAGACAUUCACAGACUCAUAUUGACUAUGUAAACCAAAUCGGCAACUCCGCAUCCAUAUGAACGACGAAAGACGGUUGUUUCCUAGCACUACGUGCCAAGCUAUCCGCCCUUUGGUUCUCCGUUCGGGGAACAUGGAUGAUGUCUGAGUUGAGGAAGCUUCUUCGCAUUGCACAUCAUUUUCAGUCCUUUUUGAUGCAUAAAUUCAAUUUCUUCAGAGCAGUUAUUCCACAAAGAGAUCGUAUGAGAUAUUGUUUGAUAUUCAGAUUUGUUUCUUGACUUUUAAGAAGAUUGAUAACUGUAAAAUUGUUUCAUUCGAAUAUUAUAUGUCUAUAACCGAAUCCCCAACAUGAGACCAC